UACGUAGGGUGCAAGCGUUAAUCGGAAUUACUGGGCGUAAAGCGUGCUCAGGCGGUUUGUUAAGUCAGGUGGGAAAUCCCCGGGCUUAACCUGGGAACUGCAUUUGUGACUGGCAAGCUAGAGUAUGGCAGAGGGGGGUAGAAUUCCACGUGUAGCAGUGAAAUGCGUAGAGAUGUGGAGGAAUACCGAUGGCGAAGGCAGCCCCCUGGGCCAAUACUGACGCUCAUGCACGAAAGCGUGGGGAGCAAACAGG
rnacentral:rRNA from 1 species